GCUGGGUAUGGUGGCUCAUGCCUGUAAUCCCAGCACUUAGGGAGGCUGAGGUGGGGGAAUCGCUUGAGCCCAGGAAUUUGAGAUCAGCCUGAGCAACAUAGGGAGACCCUGUCUUUACAAAAAAUAAAAAUAAUUAGCUGGGCGUGGUGGUGCAUGUCUGUAGUUCCAGCUAUUUGAGGGGCUGCAGAGGGAAGCUCUUCUGAGCCCAGGAGUUUGAGGCUACAGUGAGCUAUGAUGGUGCAGUGCAUUCCAGCCUGGGCAGCAGAGCGAGACCCUGUCUCU
rnacentral:sRNA from 1 species